GAUCGACACAUAGUUCAUUGAAGUCAUAGCAUUCAGCCAGCGUGGGCUCUCGGGACCCUUGAAAAUCUGCUCCAGCAACGUUGGAUUUCGGCUGUUGGUGGUGAACGGUGACGGUGAGGCGUGGGCGUCUCUAGUGUCGUAAACAACCAAACAAUAUCGACUGCGGAUAUUACGUAAUGAGAAUGAUGAAGAAUGUAAUUAUCAAUGCCCCUCAUAUCAAACAUUUCUUGUCGAAACAGUUCACCUCCGACAAACCAUAUACUACUCAAGAAAUUGACGAAGUUCGAGAAGAAUGGACGAUGUCAUUUUUAGAAUUGGUUAGAGCAAAAUGAAUGAUGUUAUAGCUAGCUAAUUACAAUACAUGUUCAGAAAUUUUAAAUUUCUUUCGCAAAAAUUUUUUGCCGUUUUUUUAGUAUUUUCUUUUCAAAUUUCUUUUAAUACAUUUUCGACACUGUCAAAGGGAUAUA